rnacentral:rRNA from 1 species
UACCAGCACCCCGAGUGGUCGGGACGUUUUAUUGGGCCUAAAGCAUCCGUAGCCGGUUCUACAAGUCUUCCGUUAAUCCAGCUGCUUAACAGAUGGGCUGCGGAAGAUACUAUGGAGCUAGGAGGCGGGAGAGGCAAGCGGUACUCGAUGGGUAGGGGUAAAAUCCGUUGAUCCAUUGAAGACCACCAGUGGCGAAGGCGGCUUGCCAGAACGCGCUCGACGGUGAGGGAUGAAAGCUGGGGGAGCAAACCGG